ACUAGUGAUUUCCGUAGGUGAACCUGCGGAAGGAUCAUUCGCACAAAGAAUAUCUUUUACACCCGCCACGCACCACACAGUGCUUUCUGUUUUUAAUCAGGAUUUAUAUCCAACUCGUCGAUGUUGCGAUUCCAUUGCAAUGUAUGCGAUGUUAUCUAUCUCUUGCGACGACGAAUGCCUUGGCUCGAGGAUCGUUGAAGGACGCAGCGAACUGUGCUAAACAUCUCGAAUUGCAGAUUUCCGAGAAAGAAAAGGAUUCUGAACGCACUUUGCGAAUUGACCUCGUGUCAGUUCACUUGAUUGGCGGUGACCGCAAUAUGCAGUCGCUCGAACUCCGAAGUUUGAGUGGUGUGCACGUGUUGUUGCAGAUUGUUGCACCGACAUGUUCGUAGAAUUCGACGCGCCUCUCGUUUUCGAGCAGCAUUAUGACUUCGUGUUAUGAUGUUCGAAAGCAGGGACCGUUUCUUGUUUGGUUUUCCAAACGAUUCUUUCGCACGCUCACGACCAGUCAAGGGAUUACCCGCUGAAUUUAAGCAUAUCAA
rnacentral:rRNA from 1 species